CCAUUUUCACCAAACGUCCUACAAUUCCCUUUGGUCAGGUAUUUUUGUUUAACCAAAAAUUGACCACCCCCCUGGCUCGUUAAAUUCUCUUUCUGGGUGGCCAUCAUUUGUGUAACUGAACAACACGUGCUCUAGUAAAUGGUGGGCAUUUUGUCUCCCGAAUGCAGGCAGCAGGACUUGGUCGUCGAAUGCCUAGAACUUUAUUUUGGACACUAUGCGUCGCGAACACAAGGAAAAUCAUACCGUUCCCUGCUCCAUUCCCAGAAGAGCGCUUUUCGGGGAAAACACCCCCCUGAAUGAGGAGAACAUUUGCUACUUACAGACCAGGGGAGAUUUUGUUUAUGUUUAUAUAGGAACUCCUGAAAGUGGUCAAAACUUUACCCUGGUGGCGAUUUGGCUAUACUACACCAAUUCAAGCACUAUUUGUACAACUUGGGAGCUUGGAUCUGGG